rnacentral:rRNA from 1 species
GUGACCUAUCCAUGUGCAGGUUGAAGCGAGAGUAAAAUCUCGUGGAGGACCGAACCCGUAUACGUUGAAAAGUGUUGGGAUGACGUGUGGAUAGCGGUGAAAUUCCAAUCGAACUCGGAUAUAGCUGGUUCUCCUCGAAAUAGCUUUAGGGCUAGCCUCAGGAUAGUUUAGCGGAGGUAAAGCACUGAAUGGGCUAGGGGGCUUCACGGCUUACCGAACCCUAUCAAACUCUGAAUGCCGCAUAAAUGUUUCCUGGGAGUCAGACUGCGUGAGAUAAGUUUCGUAGUCAAAAGGGAAAGAGCCCAGACCUACAGCUAAGGUCCCUAAAUGAAUUUAAGUGGAAAAGGAUGUGCAGUUGCGUAGACAACUAGGACGUUGGCUUAGAAGCAGCCACUCAUUUAAAGAGUGCGUAAUAGCUCACUAGUCGAGUGAUUGUGCGCCGAAAAUGUAACGGGGCUAAAAUUCAUACCGAAGCUUAGGCUUUGCACACUUUGUGUGCGAGGGGUAGAUGAGCGUUGUGUAAGUCUGCGAAGCUACACCGAAAGGAGUAGUGGAGAUAUCACAAGUGAGAAUGCCGGAAUGAGUAGCGAGAAUUAUGUGAGAAUCAUAAUGGUCGAAAAUCUAAGGUUUCUUGAGGAAGGUUCGUCCGCUCAAGGUAAGCCGGGAGCUAAGGCGAGGCCGAGAGGCGUAGUCGAUGCACAUACGGUAAAGAUUCCGUAGCCACCGAAGUCGUUAAAUACAGGGACACAGGAACAUAGCCUAACCCCACCGUUGGUUGAGUGGGGCGUAAGGGAGCGAAAAAUAGUAGCGAAGUAGGUGAUUGUACACUGGCGAGAAAAGCUGUAUGUAUUGAUAAGGUGCCCGUACCGCAAACCGACACAGGUAGAUGAGGAGAGAAUCCUAAGACCAGCGGGAGAAGUGUUGUUAAGGAACUCGGCAAAAUGACCCCGUAACUUCGGGAUAAGGGGAGCCUACGCGAGUAGGCCGCAGAGAAUAGUCUCAAGCGACUGUUUAGCAAAAACACAGGUCUAUGCUAAAUCGAAAGAUGAUGUAUAUGGGCUGACGCCUGCCCGGUGCUGGAAGGUUAAGGGGAAGUGUUAGAGCAAUCGAAGCACUGAACUUAAGCCCCAGUAAACGGCGGCCGUAACUAUAACGGUCCUAAGGUAGCGAAAUUCCUUGUCAGGUAAGUUCUGACCCGCACGAAUGGCGUAACGACUUGAGAGCUGUCUCAACAACAUACCCGGCGAAAUUGAAGUACUGGUAAAGAUGCCAGUUACCCGUGAUAAGACGGAAAGACCCCAUGGAGCUUUACUGUAACUUGAUAUUGAAUUUUUGUAUUACAUGUACAGGAUAGGUGGGAGACAGAGAACUAAUGCCGCCAGGUGUUAGGGAGUCGAUGUUGGGAUACCACUCUUGUAAUAUGAAGGUUCUAACCUGCACCCGUGAAUCCGGGUGGGGGACACUGUCAGGUGGACAGUUUGACUGGGGCGGUCGCCUCCUAAAAGGUAACGGAGGCGUUCAAAGGUUGGUUCAGCACGGACGGAAAUCGUGCAACGAGUGCAAACGCAUAAACCAGCCUAACUGCGAGACCGACAAGUCGAGCAGUAACGAAAGUUGGAGUUAGUGAUCCGGCGGUAUGAGAGUGGAAUUGCCGUCGCUCAACGGAUAAAAGCUACCCUGGGGAUAACAGGCUGAUCUCCCCCAAGAGUCCACAUCGACGGGGAGGUUUGGCACCUCGAUGUCGGCUCAUCGCAUCCUGGAGCUGAAGUCGGUUCCAAGGGUUGGGCUGUUCGCCCAUUAAAGCGGUACGCGAGCUGGGUUCAGAACGUCGCGAGACAGUUCGGUCCCUAUCUAUCACGGGCGUAGGAAAUUUGAGGAGAGCUGACCUUAGUACGAGAGGACCGGGUUGGACGUACCGCUGGUGCACCUGUUGUUCUGCCAAGGGCAUAGCAGGGUAGCUAAGUACGGACGGGAUAAACGCUGAAGGCAUCUAAGCGUGAAGCCCCCUUCGAGAUAAGAUUUCCCAUAGCGUAGGCUAGUAAGGACCCAUGAAGACUACAUGGUUGAUAGGCCGGAGGUGGAAGUGCAGUAAUGUAUGUAGCUGACCGGUACUAAUAGUCCGAGGGCUUGACCAA